AUUCAAGUGAUAAAUCAACGACAGAUUCGAGUAGCCUGGGCGAAGAAAAAGUCAACACAGAACCUGAGGUUUAUGACGAGUUGUGAUUUUUACUAAAUGAACAUAUAUGAUCAAUGUGGAUCAACUAACAUCUGCCUUCUGAGUUAAAGAUGUGGAGGAAAGAUAGGAGAGAUGCAUUUUUUGCAGAUUUAAAUUGCAGAUGAAUAGUAUGGAGCCUUUUUCAUAUAGCAAGGCAGCUUUCAAUAUAUUAUCCUUUAGAUGGCGACUCAGAUGUUAG
rnacentral:misc_RNA from 1 species